rnacentral:lncRNA from 1 species
ACUGUUAACCCAAGGGCCACUCGGGCUCCGCCAGGGGUCAGUUGCUGAGGCCAAGGCCACCGCGCUGGGAACUGAACCGUAGGUACAAUCACCGCCAUGUUGACCACCUCCUGCGACCCCUCGACCCGCUGCAGCAGGAUCGGCUUGCGGAUCAGUGGCUGGGGCUGGAUCUCCGCCGCCAUCGGAGGGGGCGCGCCCGGGGAGCAGCCGAACGCGCCGGGGGACUUGGCUGAAGAGAACGCUCAGGCUUGCGCUCAGGAUCGGGCUGCGAAGCGGAGCGGGCCUUUGAGAGCCAGCGACCAUAGCCCUGCCGCCUGUCCAGGGAAUGUGCCUGCCCGCUCUGGCUUCCAGAACCAACACCACCGCCACACUAGCCGCAAGCCGGCGCCACCUAAGAGAGUAGGGGGCGGGGAGCAGGGGGCGGGGCGGGGCGGGGCCCUGUCGCAAGGCGGUCAACCCACUUCCGGAGGAUGGGCACUAGCAGCCAAUGCGCGUGCGUCAGUCCAGCAGCCACUUCCGCCCCGCCGCCCGUAAGUAACCGAGGCCCGCAGCGCUGUCAGGACGCAUGCGCCCCGCAGUCCUUUACGCUCCCUUCCACACCCAAAGCUUUGUCCCCUCCCUCCUAAAAAAAAAAAAAAUCUGUGAAUGCGCGUGCCCAAAGCCCCACCCUCUCCAGACUCUGGGGGCGGGGAAAAGCCUGCUUCAGCCGCACCGGAAAAGCGCCUGCAGGAAGGAUAGAGGCUAAACUAGUUGGGACGUGAGUGUGCAUGCGCGCAGAUGACUCACCUCUAAGUUUUAACAAUAACACACCGGAGAGGGCGCUGUGCUGAUCGGCCGUAGUGAAGCGGCUCUUGCCAGCACCGCGUGGACUCUUGGGGGUUGUAGUUUCCGCCAUCCUCGACGUCCUUGUUCUAGAAAGCAGUAACGCCCACUUCUCAGCCCAGGAGAGGUGUGGGCAAACGAAACUCUGCGCCUUCUGUGGGUUAUUGCCCAAGUCAGAGGCAGAAAUAGUGUAGUAUCUAAGAGGGAGAACUAAAGAGCAGGCCCUGCUGAGCAAGACUUCUCUCGGGGUCACAGUGCCACCUGUUUUAAUGAGAUAUGAGGGUAGAGAAAGAAGAGACUCAUACAAGCUUCUUUGAGGGAGUUUAAAGAUCAUGGUAUCAAUCUUCUCUUUGUAUUAUGAAUAAAGGACUCACACUUG